UACGUAGGGUCCGAGCGUUAAUCGGAAUUACUGGGCGUAAAGGGCGCGUAGGCGGCCAUCUAAGUCAGACGUGAAAUCCCCCGGCUUAACCUGGGAACUGCGUCUGAUACUGGACGGCUUGAGUAUGGGAGAGGGAUGUAGAAUUCCAGGUGUAGCGGUGAAAUGCGUAGAUAUCUGGAGGAAUACCGGUGGCGAAGGCGGCAUCCUGGACCAUUACUGACGCUGAGGCGCGAAAGCUAGGGGAGCAAACGGG
rnacentral:rRNA from 1 species